AGGACGAACGCUGGCGGCGUGCUUAACACAUGCAAGUCGAACGAGGUCCACUGCGUAGCAAUACAAGGGAAGACCGAGUGGCGAACGGGUGCGUAACACGUGAGGAACUUGUCCCGGUCUCUGGGAUAACAGUUGGAAACGACUGCUAAUACCGGAUGACGUCGGAGCAUCGCAUGGUGCGCUGACGAAAGGGUUACCGGAUCGGGAGAGCCUCGCGGCCUAUCAGCUUGUUGGUGGGGUAACGGCCUACCAAGGCAUCGACGGGUAGC
rnacentral:rRNA from 1 species